rnacentral:rRNA from 1 species
UACGUAGGGGGCAAGCGCUGUCCGGAUUCAUUGGGCGUAAAGCGCGUGUAGGCGGCUCGGUAAGUCUGCUGUGAAAGUCCAGGGCUCAACCCUGGGAUGCCGGUGGAUACUGUCGAGCUCGAGUCCGGAAGAGGCGAGUGGAAUUCCUGGUGUAGCGGUGAAAUGCGCAGAUAUCGUCAAGAACACCGAUAGUGAAGACAGCUAACUAAGCUCAAACUGACGCUGAGGCACGAAAGUGUGGGGAUCAAACAGG